rnacentral:rRNA from 1 species
UACGAAGGGGGCUAGCGUUGUUCGGAUUUACUGGGCGUAAAGCGCACGUAGGCGGAUCGUUAAGUCAGGGGUGAAAUCCUGGAGCUCAACUCCAGAACUGCCUUUGAUACUGGCAACCUAGAGACUGGAAGAGGUUAGUGGAAUUCCCAGUGUAGAGGUGAAAUUCGUAGAUAUUGGGAAGAACACCAGUGGCGAAGGCGGCUAACUGGUCCAGCACUGACGCUGAGGUGCGAAAGCGUGGGGAGCAAACAGG